GCAACACGUUCACCUUCGUCUGAUACUCGCACGAGGGCACGCAGCAACGCGAGCGACAUUCAUCCAGUGAAUGUGGCUGCAACACGUUCACCUUCGUCUGAUACUCGCACGAGGACACGCAGCAAUGCAACUGGGAACAAAAAAGAGAAUGUGUCUGCAUCACCUUUACCUUUACCAUCACCUGCUACUCACACGCCGUACUGUAGGUCUCUUUCAGUUCUCAAAGCAACUGAGACUACUGUGUGUUCAGUUAAAUAGGAACUGUUUUGAGCAAUGGCA